UAAUGUCUGGGAAACUGCCUGAUGGAGGGGGAGUAACUACUGGAAACGGUAGCUAAUACCGCAUAACGUCGCAAGGCCAAGAGGGGACCGUUCGGGCCUCUUGCCAUCAGAUGUGCCCAGAUGGGAUUAGCUAGUAGGUGGGGUAACGGCUCACCUAGGCGACGAUCCCUAGCUGGUCUGAGAGGAUGACCAGCCACACUGGAACUGAGACACGGUCCAGACUCCUACGGGAGGCAGCAUG
rnacentral:rRNA from 1 species